CACAGCGGCCUUGGGUUUGGGCUCCAGCCCCAGCCGGGCCCCCUCGCGCCGCUGCGGCUGCUGCGCGGUGAGGUCGUGACAAGUCACAGCUAACUUGCCCUCCGCGCCAUUCCACGCCACCAGGAAGCGCAGCCGGUGCCUCUCGGCAUCGGCGAAGAGGCCUUGCCGGACCGGCGCCCAGCCCUCCAGGCUGUCGAGCUGCUCGUCCUCCAUGGCCGUCGGCGGCAGCGGCCCUAGGACUCGGCGGGCGCGGGCCUGACCUCGUCGCACUGCCUGUCAGGGGACAGUCCCAGGCAUAACUGAAGGUGAAAGGACAGAAUCACCGUGUGUUACUGGCACAGAUGCAUCGGCUAGUGAAGAAAGAAGACAUUCAAACUGUAAGUUGCAUUCACGUGGGAAGCACAAAGAAUUAAAUUCAAAACAAUGAAACAUUAGAGAAAAGCAUGGAGUUAAAACACAACAGAAUCAGAUGUUUACUAUUUCUCAUUUUAACACUAGUGCUUUGCGGGCUUCUAAUAAAGUUGUACUCCAGGAGGCUAAGACUGAAAAGUGACACUAGUGAAAAGUAGCAUUGAAAUAGUUCCUAGAAAAGUUGGGUGAAUGUGGGGCAAAGAUGCUACUAAACUUUAAUUUUCCAUCGACACACAAAUUCAAAGUUUUCCAGAACUGGCAAGUAAAAUGGAAGAUCCACUCACAGGACACAUGCAGUGUGUGAGGGGAAUGCUUUUCAGCACUUCUUGAUGGAUGCACAAAUAAUGCCAACGUGGUAAAUGUCUUUGGUAAAUGUGCAAUGGAAUGUAGUGGUUGUGUGAAGGAAGAAUUUUGUUUUCUGCUUCAUUUUUGAUAAACACAAGCAGCUCUGGACUGUGUGAAACCAUGGAGCACUGCACAGUUAACAGAGGUGGUUUGGAGUUUUUUAGCUUUGCAUAAGAGGAUGUUCUGAUGCAGAAUCUACAGUGACAGGAAACCAUUCUGGACAAGUUACAGAAUUAAGGGGCUUGUGCCGGGAUGGAAAUAAAUCAAUGACUUCUGUCUUUGAGAAGGUUUUUCUCUGCUCCUCUGUGAUGGUU
rnacentral:lncRNA from 1 species